UACGUAGGGGGCAAGCGUUGGCCGGAAUCAUUGGGCGGAAAGAGCGUGUAGGCGGUCCGGUAAGUCAGCUGUGAAAGUCAAGGGCUCAACCCUUGAAUGCCGGUUGAUACUGUCGGGCUAGAGUCCGGAAGAGGCGAGUGGAAUUCCCGGUGUAGCGGUGAAAUGCGCAGAUAUCGGGAGGAACACCAAUGGCGAAGGCAGCUCGCUGGGACGGUACUGACGCUGAGACGCGAAAGCGUGGGGAGCGAACAGG
rnacentral:rRNA from 1 species